rnacentral:rRNA from 1 species
UACGAAGGGGGCUAGCGUUGUUCGGAAUUACUGGGCGUAAAGCGUAUGCAGGCGGACUUUUAAGUCGGGGGUGAAAUCCCGAGGCUCAACCUCGGAACUGCCUUCGAUACUGGAAGUCUUGAGUCCGGGAGAGGUGAGUGGAACUCCGAGUGUAGAGGUGAAAUUCGUAGAUAUUCGGAAGAACACCAGUGGCGAAGGCGGCUCACUGGUCCGGUACUGACGCUGAGGUGCGAAAGCGUGGGGAGCAAACAGG